UAACCUCUGGCGAAAAUCGUGAAUGUUA
rfam:Mangrovimonas yunxiaonensis strain LY01 contig2, whole genome shotgun sequence.